GACGAACGCUGGCGGCGUGCUUAACACAUGCAAGUCGAACGGAAAGGCCCUGCUUUUGUGGGGUGCUCGAGUGGCGAACGGGGGAGUAACACGUGAGUAACCUGCCCUUGACUUUGGGAUAACUUCAGGAAACUGGGGCUAAUACCGGAUAGGAGCUCCUGCUGCAUGGUGGGGGUUGGAAAGUUUCGGCGGUUGGGGAUGGACUCGCGGCUUAUCAGCUUGUUGGUGGGGGAGUGGCUUACCAAGGCUUUGACGGGUAGCCGGCAUGAGAGGGUGACCGGCCACAUUGGGACUGAGAUACGGCACAGACUCCUACGGGAGGCAGCAGUGGGGAAUAUUGCCCAAUGGGCGGAAGCCUGAUGCAGCAACGCCGCGUGCGGGAUGACGGCCUGCGGGUUGUAAACCGCUUUCGCCUGUGACGACGCGUGAGUGACGGUAAUGGGUAAAGAAGCACCGGCUAACUACGUG
rnacentral:rRNA from 1 species